rnacentral:lncRNA from 1 species
AUUUGAGUCAAUUAGCAUGUUUUGUUGGUUUGGUAUUGCAUUGCAUUUGAUUACGAGUUUAUGUCAAAAAGAUCUCGUUUAUGCUUCGUUUGGUAGUGUUAUUGUUACAGGUUUAAAAGCAAGAAUGGUGAAGUUCUGGACACUCUGAAGGACAAAAAUAUGAGAAAAUAGCAGGUCAACACGGGCACCCGUGUGCCACAACACUGCCCGUGUUGUUGAUCAAGCAGAGCAGAGAUGAAGCAGAAAGCAGAAAUCAACACGGCCACCCGUGUGCCACCACACGGCCGUGUUGAUUAAAACAGUGCAUUAACACGGGCACCCGUGUGUAGGGACACGGCCCGUGUUGUUGCCACUGUAACUUAUGCUGAAAAUAAUUAAUGAUGAAGAACAACACGGCCACCCGUGUGCCACCACACGGCCGUGUUGAUUGGACGCAGCUUGGAAAACCUAAUUUUUGCUGUGUGAACCGAUUCUGCUCAUUAAGGGUAGUUUGGACCUUUAGCUUGGAAGAGAGUCAUCUGAAGCUAUAAGAAGGCUUGGAAGAGAAAGAAGAGGACACCUUUUGACAGACGAACGAAAGCAUUGCAUUGGAGAAGAUAGCGAAUACGACGGAUUUGAAGACGGCGAGAUUCAAGGGUAUCAACCAUUGAAGAUCAAACUCUCCUAAUUCUUUGUAAUGUCUAAUCUUUACUUUAUGAGUUCUUUAAGUACUAUGAGAGGCUAAACCCCCUGAUGCUAGGGGGGUGGUCCUGAUGUUAUCGCAUGCUAUGAAUUUGAACCAAUGAUUUCUUGAUUACUAUGUUACGUAUUUCAAUUCAAUUGUGUGAUGUUAUUAUGCUUUUGUAUCGGACAAAUACAAAUUGAUCUAUGACUUCCAAUAACAGGAUUGUGAUUGGUAGGGUUUUCACACAAUUGGGUUUAUGAAUGCAUCAUCUAGGACUAGUAACUUUCGUAAAUCACCGUAAACCUUGAUAUUGUGUAUGAUUAAAACCAAUGAUUAAUUGAAUGGACAUUUGAGUAAGAAUUGGUAGUUUAAUAGUUUCUUCCUUAAGGACUUAAGUAAGAACAUUCUGAGGUUAGGUGAUUGAAUGUUUCAUAUGUAUUAAGGAAAUCUUGACUGAAUUCAUAACCGGUUAACUCAACCACUCACCCUAGCAUCUUUUAUCUUAAUCAAUUAUUUUUACUAUUUUUGUGUUUACUAUUAUAAAUUCCAAAACAACCAAACCAUUAUCUUUUUGUUCUGAUAGAAUCAAAUUAAAAUAAGUAUUUCCUACGCAAUCCUUGAGAUCGAUACUUGGAAAUAAAACUCCUUAUUACUACAUCGGUAAAAAUAGUACACUUGCUAUUUUUCCGAUCAAGUUUUUGGCGCCGUUGCCGGGGAUUGCCAAACUACAUAUUUUAAUUUCUAUUCUAUCGAAAUUUUGUUGCUCGCCAACCAAAAUUUUAUCUGUGACAAUUUUGUUAUUCAAUUCUAAUCUUUGUCUAACUUGUUUAUGCGAGGUAAGGCCUCAGCGGAUUUUUCUUUUGACGCAGAUCCAGAAAGAACUCUUCGCGCUAGACUAAGACAAGCUAAGAGAAAGAAACUGGAAUUAGCAGAGAAAGCGGAGGGAGAAGUUGUUUCAGUGCACUCAGAGAAUUCAGAUUCAGACGCGGAAACAGUUCCUGAAAUCAUGGCUGCUAAUCCACCACCACCAGAGAGACUCCUCGGUGACUAUGGUGGAACCAACACCCCGGGUGGUCGUAUGACAAUUGUCAACCAACCGGUUAAUGUGGAACAAUUUCAGCUGCAUCCCAGCACCAUUAAUCAACUCGAAAGACGGUCCUUCUCUGGAAGAGUGAAUGAAGAUGCCAACAAGCAUCUGCAAAGAUUUUUAACCAUGAGCACAACACUGAAAAUGCCUGGACAUAGCGAAGAAGCAGUCCGACUUCGUAUGUUCCCAUUCACUUUAGCAGAUGAGGCUGAAGAGUGGUUCUAUUCCUUACCUGCUGGUAGUAUCACUACAUGGGAGCACAUGGAAACAACAUUCUUGCAGGAGUAUUUUCCCGCAUCGGUGUCAUUGCGGAAAAGAUAUGAGAUCCUAAACUUCAAACAGAAGGAGGGUGAGUCACUAGGAGAUGCCUACAAACGAUUCAAGAGAAUCCUAGUGGCUUGUCCUACUCACAACAUGGAUGAAACUGAACAAAUGCAAAUGUUUGUCAAUGGUCUUCGAAUUCAAACGAGACAAAUCCUUGAUUCAGCAGCUGGUGGCUCAGCCAACUUUGCAACAGCCACCGGUAUGAAGAAGAUAAUUGAAGCUAUUGCCUCGAACGAGCAUUUAGAGUUAUAUGACAGGGUAUCAAGCAAAUCUGCAGUUAUUGACUUGAAGCUGGAAACAAAUAAACAGGUGAAAAUUGAAGAAGCUGUUGCUGCGGAGGUAGAAAAAAGGUUGAGAGCACUAAACAUAGGUGCUCAGAAAGUGGCUCAAGUGCAACAGGCACCGAGUGAAGUGUGUGACAUUUGCAAUGGACCACACAAUACUGUUCAUUGUUUUGCAACACCGCAACAGAUCGAAGAUAUAAAAUUUUUAAAGCAGAACAAUCCCUACUCCAACACAUACAAUCCGGGGUGGAAAAAUCAUCCCAACUUUGCAUGGAAAGAUCAAAGAGGGAACGUGCAACAGCAGGCACAGGGUCAAUAUCAAAAUCAAUAUCAGCAGCAGCAACAACAGGUACCUAAGAAGGCAGAUUGGGAGAUUGCAAUUGAAAAGAUGGCAGCUCAAAAUAUGCAAUUUGAAGAAGAGACUAGAAACAAUCAGAAAAACACCACCGCCUCCCUAAAGAAUCUCGAAGUUCAGCUGGGGCAGAUAGCACAGCAACUGGCAAGUUCUCGAACACCAGGUUCCCUACCAAGUGAAACAGUUCAAAAUCCGAGAGGUCAGGAGAAUGUUAAUACUGUCACGACGACAGAGAAAGAGGUUGCUAAAAAGAAAAAAAUUAUAUCACCAAGCGAGCCGACUAAAGAAGAAACUACAAAAGGAACUAAACCGGUGAUUAAGUUGCCCUACCCUCAGAGAAUGACAAAGAAGGAACCUAGUGAGUCAGACUUGGAGAAAUUCAUGACAAUGUUUAAAAGGAUUGAGGGUCAUAUGGCCUUGUUUGAAGCACUUGAAAGGAUGCCCAUGUACAAGAAAUUCGUGGAAGAGGUAAUGGCUGAAAAGAAACCAACCACUGAAGAACAGGUAUCUGGUAAGGAACAAUAUAAUGCAAACUCCCUGGAGCAGAACAUUCCUAACAAACAAAAGGAUCCAGGAACCGUCACAGUACCAUGCACAAUCAAAGAAAGAACCUUCAAAAAGGUACUAAUAGAUUCUGGAGCUAGUGUGAAUCUGAUGCCAUUAUCGAUCUAUCACAGGCUGGGUAUUAAAAAUAUCAGUGAUAUAAAGACCAAUCUGAAGUUUGCGGAUCACUCAAGAAAAGAUGCAUAUGGUAUAGCUGAAGAUGUGCUGGUAACAAUAGCGGACUUGACUUUCCCAGUCGAUUUUGUAAUCCUAGACAUACCUGAAGACAAUGAGGCACCCAUCAUUCUGGGUCGACCUUUCAUGAAGACGAGUCGAUGCAAGCUCGACAUGGAUGAGUGCACGUUAACCUUGAAAGUUCACAACAAGGAAAUAACAUUGAAUGCUAUUGAAAACCAGGAGAUGGAGGAAGAUACAAAAUCUCAGUAUCAAGUAGGCUUAAUCAGGACAUUGAAUACUAUCAAAGGCUCACCACUGCCAGUAGCCACCCGAAAUGGAAAGAUUCCGAACACUGAAAGGAUAGUUAAAAAGGAAUCGUGGCACAAAGGAGUCCACACUGAUAAAAGAGACAACGUCCGUGUUGUAGACAAGAGGUGCAACAAGGUUUUGAACCUGAAAUACCCCCCAUGAUAAGGGAAAUGAACCGUCGAGCCAUGCGACGUUAAACGAAGCGCUUCGUGGGAGGCAACCCACGCGUUUGAUUUCUAAUUUAUUUCGUUUUUAUUUUUCUUUGUGUGUGCUAAAAUUUUGUGUAGGGGAGGAGGAGAAUUAAAAGGGCAAAGUCACAAACACCUCCAAAUGGAAGGAAACCACACAAGUGCAGUAAACCAACAGUAGUCGCUGUGAGUCCCCUUUGUAUCUGGAUUUAAACAUUGAGGUCAAUGUUUAGUUCAGGUGUGGGGAGGUUUUUCCUUUCAUGUUUUAUUUCCAUCGCUUUUGUUUUUGUUGUCGUCGUAUUGUUUUUGUUUGUUUUCGUUGUUGACUUGUGUGUACAGAGUGAUGAGAAAUGGUUGGACGAAUCCGGGAUCAAUGGUAGUGGAUGAAUGACACCCCUCAAACUUAGGCUGAUAAGGCACCCCGGAAGUUGAUGCAACCUUGAGAAAAGAAGUCGGACACAAUUUGGGGACACCGGACCAAGAGAGCGGUAUGGAAAGACCAAGUCAGAAAAGAACCACAUAACACGAGGAGACUUCAGAGCUUGCAAGCUAACCGACAUGGUGAGAUCACAGAAAGCCAAACACGAAAUAUCAACAUGAGAGUUCAGCCAGGUAUGACUUUAUCACUCUGAUUUUGCGUAUGUCCUGUUGACACGUCACAGCAUGACAACACACACUGAGGCAAGUUGUUUGUUUAGCCAGGGCCUUUCUAACCAUCCCUAUCUGUAUGUUUCCCUUCGUAAACCCCGUUGAGCCUUAGCCAUUUUAUUCAUCGUAAACCCCAGGUUAACUUUUAAGCAUUAUUCAUCAUAAACCCCCUGUUAAUUUUUAAUCAUUCAAUUCCUUUUGUUUCAUAACUCGGUAUGAUUGUGUGAAUUGCGAGAUGUGCAAUAAAACUAAGUUUGGGGUGGAAAUCUUGAAAGAGAAGCAAGUGCAUAAUAAGAGAUCAUACAAAAAUAAAAAUAGUAUGUAUUGUCUUUAAAAGAAAAAAAAGAAAAAAAAAAGAGAAAAGAAAAAAAAAUGCACUUGCCGAGACUUAAGACUCGAACACAUAUUAAAUGCUCGAAAAAGUUGAGUAGAAAAAGAGUCAAAAGAGUGAAAUUAACCCCCAGAGUAUACGUGAUGCACGAGAAAAAGAGAAAGAAAAAUCACAUAACAUGACUACCGAGUUCAAAACCCUUUGUUAUCCAAUUUUUUUGUUUAUCCCACCGUACCCAAGCCCCGUUACAACCUAAAAAGACCUCGAAAAGUGUGUGGAAUCUGCUGUGGUAGUAACAUUAGAAUGUAUUCAAAGUUAAGAGUUGGUAUUGCAUACUGUGUUGUGAGUGUACACACCUAACCCUGAGAGAUAUUGUGAGUGUGUGAAAAGCUUGUAGGUGAAGAGGUUUCUGAUGUGGAAAUGUGGUAAACUGCCUGAAUCGGAGAGACCGGAAACUCGAUUGGAAAGGAAGAACACAAAGGGUAAAAGACUAGGUUGCAUUGUGGAAAGCGAAUUCGGGGGUGACCUUUGUUUGGACUCAAUACAUCACUUGAGGACAAGCAAUGAGACAAGUUUGGGGUUGUGAUCUGUCACCAUUUCCAUUGAAUUUCCGCCGCUAAUUCGACAUAUUUUCAUCACCUUGGUAAGAUUCAUGGUUGUUUUUAGUUGCAUUUGAGUCAAUUAGCAUGUUUUGUUGGUUUGGUAUUGCAUUGCAUUUGAUUACGAGUUUAUGUCAAAAAGAUCUCGUUUAUGCUUCGUUUGGUAGUGUUAUUGUUACAGGUUUAAAAGCAAGAAUGGUGAAGUUCUGGACACUCUGAAGGACAAAAAUAUGAGAAAACAGCAGGUCAACACGGGCACCCGUGUGCCACAACACUGCCCGUGUUGUUGAUCAAGCAGAGCAGAGAGGGAGCAGAAAACAGAGAUCA